GAUGAACGCUGGCGGCGUGCCUAAUACAUGCAAGUCGAGCGAACAGACGAGGAGCUUGCUCCUCUGACGUUAGCGGCGGACGGGUGAGUAACACGUGGAUAACCUACCUAUAAGACUGGGAUAACUUCGGGAAACCGGAGCUAAUACCGGAUAAUAUAUUGAACCGCAUGGUUCAAUAGUGAAAGACGGUUUUGCUGUCACUUAUAGAUGGAUCCGCGCCGCAUUAGCUAGUUGGUAAGGUAACGGCUUACCAAGGCAACGAUGCGUAGCCGACCUGAGAGGGUGAUCGGCCACACUGGAACGGAGACACGGUCCAGACGCCUACGGGAGGCAGCAGUAGGGAAUCUUCCGCAAUGGGCGAAAGCCUGACGGAGCAACGCCGCGUGAGUGUUGAAGGUCUUCGGAUCGUAAAACUCUGUUAUGAGGGAAGAACAAAUGUGUAAGUAACUAUGCACGUCUUGACGGUACCUAAUCAGAAAGCCACGGCUAACUACGUG
rnacentral:rRNA from 1 species